ensembl:lncRNA
GCUGUGUUGAAUCUCUGUCUUCCAGGUGCCGGUGAUUAACCACCUGGGCGGGCGUGUCCCUCCACUAUAAAGGACCGGCACUUCCUGAAUUCGAGAGAGCUAAGAGCUGGAGAGCUAGAGAACUUUGAUUGUGAACUGAAACUUUGGAAACUUUGUAAAUUAAACCUUUGCGUUUUGGACAAACUUUUGGUACUUUUGGUUUCUUGUAACAAGCCUAAGAGCCGGGUUGUUACAAGUGGGGGCUCGUCAAAACUAACGAAACUUUGUGUUUGUGGCUUGAGAAGCUUUUUUGUUGUUUGAUUCGGCACGCAGCUUUCCGCGUUGGCGUAAGCCUAAAAUCUUUGUGUUGGUUGGAAACUCCUUAGUUAGUUUGCAUCGCUUGGCGAGCAUAUUUCGUUUUGUUUGUGUGUACAUUGCUGAAACUGAAAGCACACUGUCAACGUCUGGACACACACGCUCACUCUGAGGAGCAGGAUGUUCUGGCACAGAACCUCCCGGAGGUCUCUUCUGCCUGCGUAGUCACACGAGCUGCCCUCCGCGCUGCCAAAGAGCAGGAUGUGGAUGGGGAAGUUUGUGGUGCUCCGGAGUCCUGUCUCUUGGGGGAAAAACGUCCCCCAUUGGUGUCGCGGGAGGAGCUUGUGCAAGAAACGAAAACAGAGCUAGAGAACAAGAGAACUUUGAUUGUGAACUGAAACUUUGUAAAUUAAACCUUUGCGUUUUGGACAAACUUUUGGUUUCUUGUAACAAGCCUAAGAGCCGGGUUGUUACAGUGGUGUGUGUGUAUUUAUGUGUAUGCAAACUAAUUUAGGCUUUCAGAGUGGAAACCUC